UAACAGUAAAUCACACAAAAUGUUUCCAUUUUUGAGUUGAGGUCCAAACUAAGAGAAAGGGACCGGAUACUGCUGAGCAGAGUUUCUUUGUGGUUCUUCAGCAGUGGCAAGAUGAGGGGAAAAAAAAGACAAUGCAACAUUUGUGUCUGCAGGGUAGGGACUGAGCCAGCCUAUGCAGUCUGAGAAUCAGCUUGUUUUCUGUCCAUCACUACAAGAAACCAUAUAUUAUCACCUUAUUCAUCACCUUAUGAAUAUCCCUCUUUCAGAACCAUUUAUAGUGCAUCUCUCAGUAGUAAUGAAUCCGGAGGUCAGAGCCUGCAGGAAAAAGGAAACCUGGCUUUAUGUUGCAGGAUCCCAUGAAGCAGGUGUGACGGCAGGCCUUUGAUCUGCAUCUUUGGUUCUGGAGAAUUCUUCUGAACCCAAACUAAUCCAGUGCUUCAUUAAACCUGGUGCACUAGAAGAAGUCUGUCAUUUGUGUGUGUGCGUGCAUGUGUGUUGCGCCAGGAGUAGAAUUGAACACUAACGCAUACCUUACAAUAAUAAUAAUUGAAAAUGGACCUACAAUGCAAUCACACACGAAGGAUUGAGCCGGUCUUCAGUCAUUAUGCCCCCUACUGAGACUCACUGAUUAAACCUUCCCCACAAAACUAAAUCAGUGACUAAUCCUCCUGUGUGCUGUGUUGCUGGCUUGGGUCUUGGCCUGGAAGUGCCCAGAAGUGGAACAGAAUCUGAUUCUCAAGAUCCAAGGAGGAGAAAUGAGAACAUGUUUCUGAUUUUUUUUUUUUUUUUUUUUUAACCUGGGGCCAUUUUUCAUCUGCAGGCCAGACUACUCUGAGCCAGCCCAGAGCUGCUGCUGGGAACUACAGAUCUCUCACACAUACACUCACACGCACACACACGCACACUAAACCUGUUCCAUGAUAGUGCUUUUUCCUUGUAUUAACAAGUGCAGUUUGUUUUAAUCAUUUUCAUUGCUUUUUCUCUCUUAGAAGUUAGGCUUCAGAAAGAUUUGCUGAAGUCCUGUAGAAGUGCUAGAACUAGUAAAGGCCAGCAUGUGUGAUGGACAGCAUGUAAGAGCUACUCCUGUGUUGAGAAAACUCAAACAUCAAACAUGAACAAUGUUUGAUAUUUGAGUUACUUCAGGUAGCUUUAUGAAUCUAUAUUAUAAGAACGUCUUAUUGUAUAGAUUCUUUAAAUUGAAUUCGGUCAUGUCCUGAUUUGAGGACAUAACCGUGCUGGAUAACUUUUGUCACACAACUUGCUAACAAGACAAAGUGCUUUUCAUUUUGCUUUUUCCCCUUGUCUGUUUCCAUCUGGGUUAGAAUCACUUUUUUUCCCCAUUUUUCCUAUUAGUUUUAGAUACAUGGGAGAUAGUGGGCCAUGUUGUCUCCAAACUGUUUCAGAAAUGAUUUAAAACGGCAGUAUAAGUUGCUGCUUUUACUGCUGCAGCUUCUAGAAAUUUCUUAAUCUGACUUGACUUCUCUAACACAUUACUUGCCUUUCAGUUCCAGCCUCCAGGUUCUCUUUUACUCACUAGCUUCUGUUCAUCCAUUCGACAACUGGUCACUUCCUGUGUUCAUCUGUUAUUGUGGUGUGUGAAGAAAAGCUCAACUCUUGUUUGUUGUAGAAUGGGAGAAAACAAGGUUUUCUUCUCCAGGAGGAUUAUAGGGACGUCCUGUGGGAUGUGGACUGUCUCUCUAGCAAAAGAUAAACAACUCACUCAAUAUGUCACUGUUUUCUGUGGAGUCUCAUUACAUAUCACUAGUUAAAUUCAGAGUUGAUUGUCCAGUAAAGUUCUAAAGCCAGCCCUUUGUUUUUCCAGGUCUAUAAAGGUGAAUUUCAGCUCCCAGAUUUCCUAAAAGAGCAAUCACAGAUGCAGAAGUCUGCAGAGAGACCCAACCCCAGUUAGAAGCAGAGGAACAGCUGGACCACAGCACAUAGAACUGGGUGGACUCAGGCUAAAAGACGACUCUCCAUCUGCGCUGGACGUUGGCACAUCCAAGCGCUCUCGUCUGGUUCCUCUUCCUGUGGGCAGCUCUCCCUCCUCUGCUUCAAGAGGACCUUUGGCCUUCAGUGUUGUACCUUAACGUGAGAAGAUGUGCCACUUCUCAGCACCAUGGAAUGUCUGCUGAUUGUUAUUUUGUGUCACAUCACACUCAUUAAGUUUGUAGGAACGACCUCUGGAUGUUUAGAGAAAAAACUGAUUCUAUUGUAAGAAACUCAGAAACUCCAGAAUCAAACCAGUAUAUAUGAAUGGGGGGAUUAGCUUUCAGAAGCUGCAAUACUUAUUUUAAUGUUUCAUUUUUGUUUCAAUGCCUUUUUAUUGUGCAAUGCCAUAGGGUACUGUUUAUUUUAAUGUAUCGGAAGUGAUAAAUGAUGCUUUUUAAAAAAAACAUGUCUGUUAUUGUUGCUUUUUUUAUAUUGAAGAUGUCAUCAAUCUUUUCACUUGGAUGUGAAAUAUGCAGGAAAAUAUGUGAUUUGAUAAAUUUAAGCACAAAACUGUUCUCUUGACAGUGAUAUUUAUGUGGCCACAGAGAUACUUAUGGAGGGCUGGAUUUUGCCCCCAUGCCUUUAGUUUGACUCAUGUGUCCUACUCCUUUGGGUUUGUUCAUAUUUUACAUGGCUGGUCAGAGAGAGCAACCUUUCCAUUCAAAGAGCCACUUUUGCCCCUGCUGUUACAAAAUAAAACUCACCUAGAGCCACAAAAGACAAUUUUCUAAAUAUGUACUGCAUAAAAUAUUUUAAUAUGGAAGCAGUGAAAAACUAAUGCCCCUUUUUCACCAGCCACCACCUCCAGGCGCUAUGUGCUGUGCUUCGUUACAUGCAUCCUAACGCGAGUUGUUGUUUUUCUGAUACAAAAGAACAAGAGAGAGCUGAGCUAUUUUUUUUAUAGCCUGAUUGCGAUUUUUCUGAGACUUCAAGAAAAUGUGGCAGUGGGAGGAAAGCAGCGAUGUGGUGAGGAAGAGCUGAUCUCUGCCUUGCAGCGGGAGCAAAGCAGGUGGCUCAGGUGCAGGUGAGCUAACAAUGAUUGUUGUAUUAAACUACUAUAAAACUUGUAAUAGUGCCAAAUAUACAUGAGCUAAUGUUAAUCGCAGUGUUGCAAAUAACUUAAAAAUGUCAGAAUUAAUUCAUAAUAUAUUACAAUGUGUUUUCAUGUUGGUAAACUGCAGACCAUCGUGGUUCUUCGUGCUCCUCUGAGUUGUAGGAUGUCUCAUCAGUCUCCGUCUUCCUGCCAGUCGGUGUUUACCUUCAGGAUGUCCAGAGACCUUCACCUUUCUGGAGUAGGAAUCACAUGAGCUCAAUAUGCUGAUGAAACAUUUCUGAUAAAAAAAAAAUGUGUCUGAUGUUCUUACAGAGUUGAAGUGCAUUAACAAUCUGUUGUUUUUAACUUCUCAAUACGUUUAAUUAUGAUUCACCUGAUGUCCAAGUUAUACUGAGAACAAAUAAAGCUUUAUUCCUUCUAAUCUGACUGGUUCUAGUUCCAUAUUUUCACAUUUUGCACACUAAGAAUUAAAAGUUUAAACUCAGUCUUAAUUAUCACUAAUUAAGGUUACAGGUUUUAGACACAUUUUCUCGCUUUCUUGCAUUGAAGAUUCUGCAGGAAGACAUAAACAUUGAGUGGAUAGAAUGAUGAUGUAUAAACUAGAAACUAAUAAACAUGAUUUGUAUUUUGGGUUCUUGUUAAUAGCAACCCUGAUAAUAAUGUCAAAAUGUUUGGUUUGCUGAAUAAUGUAUUCAGUUUUGGAUGCCGUCGUUGGUAAUCUACAAUGUUAAGUUCAAUUAAACAUUUAUAUAAUAUAUUUUCACUCUGUCUAAAGCUCCGCACAUUUUGGGAGGAUUAUAUUAGGACCUUGAUGCCAUAUAAACUACAAUCUGUACAAUAAUGUGUUGGAGUGAGCAGAAAUAGAGAGACUUCACUGAGACAACUUUUAUUUUUCUUUUGUCUCAACUCUCCAUAGAGCUCUGCCAUCUCAGCUGGUAGCUGCUUCCUCCUGAAGGAGAUCCAGGUGUUCUGAUGGUUCUCCUCAUCGUUCUCCAUCAUGUCAGCCAUGUUGCUCUCCUUCUGCUCCCUGGGAAAAGGGGGAAACUCGGAUGCAACAGCAAAAUGAUAAACAAUCGAAGCACGUAGAUUCACGCAAAGAUAAGAAACAAGUGAAGGUAACAUGUAUAAUAUUACAAUUAUUUAUAAUUGUAAUGUGCAACCAGUGUCUUUAGAAAAUGCGCAUGUUGUGUUUGAGCAAUAAAAAUACAGCAGACUUUGUGUUUUAAAUGUCUUCCAUGACAUGUAUGUAUGCAACCUUAAAUGUAGUAAAAACCAGACGGAUAUAUCUCCAAACUGCUCACCUGGCUGGAGAGCAGCAGCGGCGUUAGCUGCGUCUGAGUCGGUGUUCACCGUGAGGCUGUGUCGGCUCCGAAGCGGCUAACGAGGCUUUCCAUUCUCUCCACUAUGGUGACAAAAACGACUCAUGGACCUUACCAAGCCCCUCCCAGAAACGCCCCUCGACAGUCCCACAUGGCUGCAUGUCUCACAAACAAAGCGUCGCGGGGCUUAGUUUCUAUGUCAUAGUUCAUGUCAUCUUUUUUGGACGAAAUCAAGGUGUUUGAGCCACGCGAUGCCUCCAACAUUGUGCGCGUCACAGGGAAAUGCUAUCGGUGUUAUAGAUCAACUGGUGGCUAAAUCAACUGGUUGAAACCUAUGCGCACCGCAGAUGUUUCUAAAUUGUAGGUGGUUGUGUCGAUGCCUGUUGAAAAAUGCUACUUGCGUGAAAAAACCGUUUGCAAAACUUUACUAUAAAUCCCAUUGGACGCUUAUAUGUUUAAUGUUGCAUGUGAAAAGUAUCUUUCAAAACAAUUUUCUAAAGAACAGCAUUCAUUGCGCUUCGAAAACCAUAACCAGAUCAAUGAAUAACACAAUCCCAUUCACUUUCAGGUUCACCAGAAUACAAUAAUUCUAACUCAUGAAUAGCCACAAUGUAAACCCAAGUGGAUAGUUUCUGCUUUUUGUAACCAGCACUGAUCAGAAAAAAACAUUGUAAUUGACUAUCAAGUACCUGUUAUGCGAGUUGCUUACAUUACAGGUAAGCAAAAGGUAAAUAGUAAGUGUCGCAUUAUUUAGCGACAUUUACUACCCAGAGUAAGUGUCGCUAAACAAUGAGGUGGUUGUCAUCAUAUUUAAUAAAAUUUAACUCACAUA